rnacentral:rRNA from 1 species
UACAGAGGUCCCAAGCGUUGUUCGGAUUCACUGGGCGUAAAGGGUGCGUAGGUGGUGAGGUAAGUCGGAUGUGAAAUCUCGGAGCUCAACUCCGAAAUGGCAUUGGAAACUGCCUUGCUAGAGGGUUGGAGGGGGGACUGGAAUUCUCGGUGUAGCAGUGAAAUGCGUAGAUAUCGAGAGGAACACCGGUGGCGAAGGCGAGUCCCUGGACAACUCCUGACACUGAGGCACGAAAGCUAGGGGAGCAAACAGG